UACGGAAGGUGCAAGCGUUGUUCGGAAUGACUGGGCGUAAAGCGCACGUAGGCGGGUUCGUAAGUCGAAUGUGAAAUCCCCAGGCUUAACCUGGGAACUGCAUCCGAAACUGCGAAUCUUGAAUGCUUGAGAGGUUGGUGGAAUUCCUGGUGUAGGAGUGAAAUCCGUAGAUAUCAGGAGGAAUAUCGGAGGCGAAGGCGGCCAACUGGCGAUGCAUUGACGCUGAGGUGCGAAAGCGUGGGGAGCAAACAGG
rnacentral:rRNA from 1 species